UCCAACUGGGAGAAAACAUCGAAGUGAACCGUGAUGGCUUUGUUGAGUUCAACAAGUCUCUCCUGUCGGCCACUCCCCAGCAGGAAGAAGUCAUUAAAUUCACACUCAAGACGACGGAAAAGGACGGCCUGGUGCUGUGGAAGGGGCAGCCCAGCCCUCUCCAGCGAUCCAGCAGCAUCGACUAUCUAUCCAUUGGAUUACAGGACGGAUAUGUCGUAUACAGCUUUGAGCUUGGAAGUGGUCCUGCCAGAAUAAGAUCGCCAAUCAGAAUUAAUGAUGGGUAUGCACAUAUCAUCCAAGUGACGAGGCUAGGUCGCCAAGGAAGCUUGACAAUAGACAACAAUCUCUCUUAUUCAACAUCUGGCCAGUCUCAAGGGCCAUUACAGAGCCUGAAUACCGCAGGAAACGUGUACCUAGGUGGCGUGUCGCUGGUUUCCACAAUCACUAAGCAACAGUACACAGAGAACUACAGUGGCUGUAUAUCAGACAUAUACCUACAGGAUAAGGGACCACUGCGUCUCCCCGAGGACGCCGUAGGGGGAUUCAAUGUCCGCCCUUGCCUAAACAAGAAGUAAACCACCCACACUAAAUGAACAAAGUCGUAUAUAAAAUGUGUGUGUAUCUAAAAAAUGAUUGACCUUAGUUGUGUACAAUGCCAAGUCGCAUACUGUACAGGAAAUCACAACCAUUUCAAGUUCUAUGCAUGCUGUUAAUUAAGAUGAGAGAAUUUUAUAUUGAUCGGUACAGUUUUCACAUGUAUGCGAGUUGCAUUCUCUGUUUAUUUAGUUGUACAAUUCUCUACGAUGUGAAACCACUAUCUAUAUAAGUUUUUUAUGUUGAAAGACGUUUAGCACUUUAAAAGUGUAGCUGUGACACAACUGAUAUAUGUACAUGUAUAUGUAUGUCUGUAGAUGGCUCCACGUAGGUAUUUAUGUUAAUUUGAACUUCGAUAUUUUUGUACCCGGUUCUAGAGUUUUGAUUUUAAUUAUCCAUGUAUACUAUAUUUUAACAUUAUAUUAAAGGUGCUUUUUAUAUGCUCGACUUUUAAUGCCCUAGACGAUAUUUUUUUUUUCUCAUGCCAGUGUAAUCAAAUUGAGUGUUAAUGAUAUGAUAUUAUGUGUGAGAGACUAAAUCAAAUCAGUGACUGCUGAAAAGAUUUAAUGUUCACUGUAAGCACAGGCUCCUGACUUUAAAACUUAUUUUUUUAUAGUAAGGAAAUUUUCCAUUCUAUUCUAUUAUAGUACAGGAAAUUAUCUUACUAUAAAGAGAAAUAAUUUUAAUGCCAGGUGUCGAUGACUGUAACUUACAAAUUGUGUAGUAUCCAAGCACAUUCAUACAUCUUUGUAUAAGUCCUGCUAGCUCUGUCAUAUGUUUGUACACUGUUAUGAUUUUUUUUUUUCAUGUUUGUAACUCUCAACUAUUUUUUCCAAUACUCUAAGAUAGGGAGACUGUGUUUACGGAGCAAUGAACUGAUUCAGAUCCGGUACAGAGGGUAAAUGAUUCAAACUGACGUGUUUGGAGGUUGUUUAUAAUUUUUUUUUUUUUUUUGUAUGAGAGAUGUCUUGCUCCAGCAUUUAUUAUUAUUAUUCAGGUGAUACCAAAGAGGUCCCAUUUAUUGAUCAAAUUGAUUGAAUACUCACUUAUUUAACAGCUGGUGCUAUAUGAAAAUCAACGUUUAAUAAUCAGAAUUUCUCUUUUCUACUACAGCAGGUCUACCUAAAAAAGUUGGAGUUUAUAAUUUUUUUUUCUCUCGGUUGAUAAAAAUUUAGCAUUUUUCAUUAUUUUUUCUUUUAUGAAUGAUUUUAGAUGCUUUUUUUUUUUUUUUUUUUUUCUUCAUGUCUUUACACCCAUGUGUUGAAUACUUUGUUUUGAUAGUCCAUUUAUUUUUUACUCUCCUUUUAUUGUAAAGAAGCAUUAUGUUUCAAAUUAAUUAAUUUUGAUAUUUUACAUCAUUCUCAGUAUUAGCAACAUUAAAAUAGCUGUACUGUGCUUCUGGGUUUAAAAAUUUAUUACUUGGAUAUGAAAUUGUUAGAUCUGUCAUGCUUCAAAAUUUUAUAAUAAAGUACUAUAAAGCUUA